rnacentral:rRNA from 1 species
UACAGAGGUCCCGAGCGUUGUUCGGAUUUACUGGGCGUAAAGGGUGCGUAGGUGGUCGGGUAAGUCUCAUGUGAAAUCCCGCAGCUUAACUGCGGAACGGCAUGGGAUACUAUUCGGCUCGAGGAUUGGAGGGGGGACUGGAAUUCCCGGUGUAGCAGUGAAAUGCGUAGAGAUCGGGAGGAACACCAGAGGCGAAGGCGGCGACCUGGACAGAUACUGACACUCAACUACGAAAGCGUGGGGAGCAAACAGG